CGGGGCGUAGGGACUUUCUGACUGAAAGUCAGUAGGGAGUUUGGCGGGGAUUUAUGAAGCCUUGCCCUACCUUGUUAGACGUCGAUUGCAGUGGGCGUCCACCUAAGGCGUUGCUAUUUAAGGAUUUUCAGGACUCCCGCCAGCAUGGGGUGCUAGGGGUCGAGUGUUCGAAUCACUCCGUCCCGACCA
rnacentral:tRNA from 3 species